GCUAUUAAAUUAUGCAUAAUAACUUUUGUAAAACCGGUCAGGUCUGUGAAGGAAGCAGCCGUAGCAAAAAUUAAAAUUGCUUCUUUAUUAGUAUCCCG
rnacentral:SRP_RNA from 1 species